rnacentral:rRNA from 1 species
GUUAGAACUCUUCGGAGGGAAGGGGAAGUGACUGAGCGGCGGACGGGUGAGUAACGGGUGGGCAACCUGCCUUACACAGGGGGAUAACAAUUAGAAAUGAUUGCUAAUACCGCAUAAGACCACAGUAUUGCAUGAUACAGUGGUAAAAACUGAGGUGGUGUAAGAUGGGCCCGCGUCUGAUUAGGUAGUUGGUGGGGUAGAAGCCUACCAAGCCGACGAUCAGUAGCCGACCUGAGAGGGCGACCGGCCACAUUGGGACUGAGACACGGCCCAAACUCCUACGGGAGGCAGCAGUGGGGAAUAUUGCACAAUGGGGGAAACCCUGAUGCAGCGACGCCGCGUGAGUGAGGAAGUAUUUCGGUAUGUAAAGCUCUAUCAGCAGGGAAGAAAAUGACGGUACCUGACUAAGAAGCCCCGGCUAACUACGUGCCAGCAGCCGCGGUAAUACGUAGGGGGCAAGCGUUAUCCGGAUUUACUGGGUGUAAAGGGAGCGUAGACGGAGCAGCAAGUCUGAUGUGAAAAUCCGGGGCCCAACCCCGGAACUGCAUUGGAAACUGUUGAUCUAGAGUGUCGGAGAGGUAAGUGGAAUUCCUAGUGUAGCGGUGAAAUGCGUAGAUAUUAGGAGGAACACCAGUGGCGAAGGCGGCUUACUGGACGAUGACUGACGUUGAGGCUCGAAAGCGUGGGGAGCAAACAGGAUUAGAUACCCUGGUAGUCCACGCCGUAAACGAUGACUACUAGGUGUCGGGAGGCAAAGCCUUUCGGUGCCGCAGCCAACGCAAUAAGUAGUCCACCUGGGGAGUACGUUCGCAAGAAUGAAACUCAAA